AUACGGAGGGGGCUAGCGUUGUUCGGAAUUACUGGGCGUAAAGCGCGCGUAGGCGGCUUAUCAAGUUAGGCGUGAAAGGCCUGGGCUCAACCCGGGAACUGCGCUUAAUACUGGUAGACUUGAGUCCGGGAGAGGGUGGCGGAAUUCCCAGUGUAGAGGUGAAAUUCGUAGAUAUUGGGAAGAACACCAGUUGCGAAGGCGGCCACCUGGACCGGUACUGACGCUGAGGUGCGAAAGCGUGGGGAGCAAACAGGAUUAGAAACCCCGGUAGUCC
rnacentral:rRNA from 1 species